rnacentral:precursor_RNA from 1 species
ACCCACCCAACUUGCUGUUACUGAGUGCCAAAGACGAUGGCAGCAGGCAGCAAGCAGUGUUCCUUCUCCUUCUUCCUCCUUCCUUCCUCCUCCUGCAGUAAUCAGAUGGCCUUCUUUGUGAUCUUCCACAGCUUUCUUGAACUGCAUCUCUCAGAGGAGCGGCAGCUUCAACUCCUCCACCCGCAUCAGCAGGUGCAUGCAGUUCAAUAAAGCUGUGGGAAACUGCAGAGAGAGGCCAGCAGAGCAGCAAAGCAUGGCCGGUGCCGUCAACUUGGUCAUCCUGUGCAGAUGCAUGCGUGCUGCCUAGACAAAUAUAAAUCUUCCACAUGCAUGCAGCACCGAUCAAGAUGUGUUCUUUUCUCUGUCGAUUCUCCAGCAGCUGGUGAUAAGCUAAUAAGGUUCAGUUUCAUACUUUCUUGUACACUCU